GCGUAGGGUAUGUAGGCUGUGAAAAACAGUGGAAAUUAAAGACUGGGUAGCAAUCCUUUAUGUUUCCUCGCUGAUUUCACUAGAAUCUUAGAAGGAUGAUGGUAUUAAUCAGGAAUAGUUAAAUAUGAGAUAGAUAAAGGACCGACAGUGGUGAAAACAAUCUUCUUAUCAAGUAUUGAGCUAAUAUACGAAGGCAGGGGAGCGAAACGGAUUAGACACCCGUGUAGUCCGUGCUGUCAACGCUGAAUUUUCAAUGUAGGUCGGUUUGAAUACUAUUUUAGCCUCCGGGGGUAGGAUAAUGGGAAACAGUGUUAUUUUAGAAUGAAAAACUAGUAACGCUUAAAUAUAACAAAAUCCUACUUAUUCGGAAAAACUUGGUAGGAUAAUGGGAAACUUGGUGUUUUAGUAACGCGUUAAAUUUUCCGCUGGGAAGUACGGCCGCAGGUUGAAACUCAAAAGAAUUGAGGUGGCUUGUACGAGG
rnacentral:rRNA from 1 species